GAUGAACGCUGGCGGCGUGCCUAAUACAUGCAAGUCGAGCGAACGGACGAGAAGCUUGCUUCUCUGAUGUUAGCGGCGGACGGGUGAGUAACACGUGGAUAACCUACCUAUAAGACUGGGAUAACUUCGGGAAACCGUAGCUAAUACCGGAUAAUAUUUUGAACCGCAUGGUUCAAAAGUGAAAGAAGGUCUUGCUGUCACUUAUAGAUGGAUCCGCGCUGCAUUAGCUAGUUGGUAAGGUAACGGCUUACCAAGGCAACGAUGCAUAGCCGACCUGAGAGGGUGAUCGGCCACACUGGAACUGAGACACGGUCCAGACUCCUACGGGAGGCAGCAGUAGGGAAUCUUCCGCAAUGGGCGAAAGCCUGACGGAGCAACGCCGCGUGAGUGAUGAAGGUCUUCGGAUCGUAAAACUCUGUUAUUAGGGAAGAACAUAUGUGUAAGUAACUGUGCACAUCUUGACGGUACCUAAUCAGAAAGCCACGGCUAACUACGUG
rnacentral:rRNA from 1 species